rnacentral:rRNA from 1 species
GAUUGACGCUGGCGGCAUGCCUUACACAUGCAAGUCGAACGGCAGCACGGGAGAAAUCCUGGUGGCGAGUGGCGAACGGGUGAGUAACAUAUCGGAACGUGCCCAUCAGUGGGGGAUAGCCCGGCGAAAGCCGGAUUAAUACCGCAUACGACCUACGGGUGAAAGCAGGGGAUCGCAAGACCUUGCGCUAUUGGAGCGGCCGAUAUCAGAUUAGCUUGUUGGGGGGUAAGAGCCUACCAAGGCGACGAUCUGUAGCUGGUCUGAGAGGACGACCAGCCACACUGGGACUGAGACACGGCCCAGACUCCUACGGGAGGCAGCAGUGGGGAAUUUUGGACAAUGGGCGCAAGCCUGAUCCAGCCAUGCCGCGUGC